CCGCGGUAAAACCGGUUACUCCUACGGGAGGCAGCAGUGGGGAAUCUUGCGCAAUGCGGGAAACCGUGACGCAGCGACGCCGCGUGAGGGAAGAAGGCCUUCGGGUUGUAAACCUCUUUCAGGAGGGACGCGGUACCUCCAGAAGAAGCCCCGGCUAACUAC
rnacentral:rRNA from 1 species